GACGAACGCUGGCGGCGUGCUUAACACAUGCAAGUCGAACGGAAAGGCCCUGCUUUUGUGGGGUGCUCGAGUGGCGAACGGGUGAGUAACACGUGAGUAACCUGCCCUUGACUUUGGGAUAACUUCAGGAAACUGGGGCUAAUACCGGAUAGGAGCUCCUGCUGCAUGGUGGGGGUUGGAAAGUUUCGGCGGUUGGGGAUGGACUCGCGGCUUAUCAGCUUGUUGGUGGGGUAGUGGCUUACCAAGGCUUUGACGGGUAGCCGGCCUGAGAGGGUGACCGGCCACAAUGGGACUGAGAUACGGACCAGACUGCUACGGGAGGCAGCAGUGGAGAAUAUUGCACAAUGGGCGGAAGCCUGAUGCAGCAACGCCGCGUGCGGGAUGACGGCCUUCGGGUUGUAAACCGCUUUCGCCUGUGACGAAGCGUGAGUGACGGUAAUGGGUAAAGAAGCACCGGCUAACUACGUG
rnacentral:rRNA from 1 species